rnacentral:rRNA from 1 species
AUUGAACGCUGGCGGCAGGCCUAACACAUGCAAGUCGAGCGGAUGAAGGGAGCUUGCUCCUGGAUUCAGCGGCGGACGGGUGAGUAAUGCCUAGGAAUCUGCCUGGUAGUGGGGGAUAACGUCCGGAAACGGGCGCUAAUACCGCAUACGUCCUGAGGGAGAAAGUGGGGGAUCUUCGGACCUCACGCUAUCAGAUGAGCCUAGGUCGGAUUAGCUAGUUGGUGGGGUAAAGGCCUACCAAGGCGACGAUCCGUAACUGGUCUGAGAGGAUGAUCAGUCACGCUGGAACUGAGACACGGUCCAGACUCCUACGGGAGGCAGCAGUGGGGAAUAUUGGACAGUGGGCGAAAGCCUGAUCCAGCCAUGCCGCGUGUGUGAAGAAGGUCUUCGGAUUGUAAAGCACUUUAAGUUGGGAGGAAGGGCAGUAAGUUAAUACCUUGCUGUUUUGACGUUACCAACAGAAUAAGCACCGGCUAACUUCGUG